CCUACGGGAGGCAGCAGUGAGGAAUAUUGGUCAAUGGACGAGAGUCUGAACCAGCCAAGUAGCGUGAAGGAUGACUGCCCUAUGGGUUGUAAACUUCUUUUAUAAAGGAAUAAAACGAGGCACGUGUGCCUUUUUGCAUGUACUUUAUGAAUAAGGAUCGGCUAACUCCGUGCCAGCAGCCGCGGUAAUACGGAGGAUCCGAGCGUUAUCCGGAUUUAUUGGGUUUAAAGGGAGCGUAGAUGGGUUGUUAAGUCAGUUGUGAAAGUUUGCGGCUCAACCGUAAAAUUGCAAUUGAUACUGGCAGUCGUGAGUACAGUUGAGGUAAGCGGAAUUCGUGGUGUAGCGGUGAAAUGCUUAGAUAUCACGAAGAACCCCGAUUGCGAAGGCAGCUUACUAAACUGUGACUGACAUUGAUGCUCGAAAGUGUGGGUAUCAAACAGGAUGAGAUACCCCAGUAGUC
rnacentral:rRNA from 1 species